rnacentral:rRNA from 1 species
CACGUAGGCGGCCUGGUUAGUCAGAUGUGAAAGCCCGGGGCUUAACCCCGGAAGUGCAUUUGAUACUGUCAGGCUUGAGUAUGGGAGAGGGAAGUGGAAUUCCUGGUGUAGAGGUGAAAUUCGUAGAUAUCAGGAGGAACACCGGUGGCGAAGGCGACUUCCUGGACCAAUACUGACGCUGAGGUGCGAAGGCGUGGGUAGCAAACA